rnacentral:rRNA from 1 species
CGAAAGCAUGGGGAGCGAACAGGAUUAGAUACCCUGGUAGUCCAUGCCGUAAACGUUGGGCACUAGGUGUGGGGGACAUUCCACGUUUUCCGCGCCGUAGCUAACGCAUUAAGUGCCCCGCCUGGGGAGUACGGCCGCAAGGCUAAAACUCAAAGGAAUUGACGGGGGCCCGCACAAGCGGCGGAGCAUGCGGAUUAAUUCGAUGCAACGCGAAGAACCUUACCAAGGCUUGACAUGGGCCGGACCGGGCUGGAAACAGUCCUUCCCCUUUGGGGCCGGUUCACAGGUGGUGCAUGGUUGUCGUCAGCUCGUGUCGUGAGAUGUUGGGUUAAGUCCCGCAACGAGCGCAACCCUCGUUCCAUGUUGCCAGCGCGUAAUGGCGGGGACUCAUGGGAGACUGCCGGGGUCAACUCGGAGGAAGGUGGGGACGACGUCAAAUCAUCAUGCCCCUUAUGUCUUGGGCUUCACGCAUGCUACAAUGGCCGGUACAAAGGGUUGCGAUACUGUGAGGUGGAGCUAAUCCCAAAAAGCCGGUCUCAGUUCGGAUUGGGGUCUGCAACUCGACCCCAUGAAGUCGGAGUCGCUAGUAAUCGCAGAUCAGCAACGCUGCGGUGAAUACGUUCCCGGGCCUUGUACACACCGCCCGUCAAGUCACGAAAGUUGGUAACACCCGAAGCCGGUGGCCUAACCCCUUGUGGGAGGGAGCUGUCGAAGGUGGGACUGGCGAUUGGGACUAAGUCGUAACAAGGUAGCCGUA